rnacentral:sRNA from 1 species
UCAAAAUUGCAUUUUCCCGGCUACUAUCUCCUCUACGUUUUACACCGGUCUUGAGCGGGUAUGUUUCACGAUUAUCUGCUGGUACAUUCAAUAUUCCCACGUUGUAUCGAGCCGAUAAGACUCGUAUUCUAUGCACGAAUUUUUUACACAGGACUGAGCUAUGAUUGUGCAUUGAAUUUAUCAAAGACAGAAUUUCAACGCUAAGAAGCGCUGUGCAUAUAAGGCGUAAUUCUUGCUCUCGACAUGCAGUUGGCUGGGUGUUCCCAUUUUCUCAAUCACACUAUUAUUAGCCCAGCGAUAUCGCACAAAUGGCGGCAAGCAGGUUGGCAAGGCGGCGUUGAAGAGAGAAUCAGUUCUUUCUUUCCUUCACAGACACUGGAAGAAUUAUUUUGCUUCCCCACCUUACUCCCGCUUCAGAGAGGCAUCAACGGGAACAAAGUUACCAGGAGAGUCGGUAUUGUUCGUUUCGCUUCUUUGAUAUGGCCAAAAGAGAAGAGGAGGAAUGAUUCUCCAUUUGUUAUUGUUCAACACCGAAGUUGCCAGUUUACGAGCAGCUCUGAAUCAAGUCAGAUC